AGAGCGAACGCUGGCGGCAGGCCUAACACAUGCAAGUCGAGCGCCCGUAGCAAUACGGGAGCGGCAGACGGGAUAGUAACACGUGGGAACGCGCCCUUCGGUUCGGAAUAACUCAGGGAAACUUGAGCUAAUACCGGAUACGCCCUUACGGGGAAAGAUUUAUUGCCGAAGGAACGGCCCGCGUCCGAUUAGCUAGUUGGUGAGGUAAUGGCUCACCAAGGCGACGAUCGGUAGCUGGUCUGAGAGGAUGACCAGCAUCACUGGGACUGAGACACGGCCCAGACUCCUACGGGAGGCAGCAGUGGGGAAUAUGGACAAUGGGCGCAAGCCUGAUCCAGCCAUGCCGCGUGGAUGAUGAAGGCCCUAGGGUUGUAAAGCCCUUUUGUUGGGAAGAAAUUGUACGGUUGAAUAUUCCGUGCGGAUGACGGUACCAAAGAAUAAGCACCGGCUAACUUCGUGCCAGCAGCCGC
rnacentral:rRNA from 1 species